rnacentral:rRNA from 1 species
CAUUUAAAGAGUGCGUAACAGCUCACUAGUCGAGGAGUUUUGCAUGGAUAAUAAUCGGGCAUAAGCCCUUUACCGAAGCUGUGGAUGUCGUAAGACAUGGUAGGGGAGCAUUCCGGCGGCGACGAAGGCCGUCCUCGAGGACGACUGGAGCUUUCGGAAAAGCAAAUGUAGGUAUAAGUAACGAUAAAGGGGGCGUGAAACCCCCUCGCCAUAAGACUAAGGAUUCCUGAUCAACGCUAAUCGGAUCAGGGUAAGUCGGGCCCUAAGGCGCAGCCGAACGGCGUAGCCGAUGGAAGAAACGGUAAAGAUUCCGUUACUGGAUAUAGGAGCGAUGUGGAGACGGAGAAGUGACACACCCGCCUGCCGACGGAAGCGCAGGUUAAAGGAAGUAGGUAAACGCCGGGUAGGCAAAUCCGCCUGGCGUGCCGAAGCUGACAGUAUCGAGAGCCCCCGGGCAAUCGAAUAGCGGUGGUAAUCAGGCUCCCAAGAAAAUCCGCUAAGCAUAUUCUAUAUCCACCCGUACCCCAAACGGACACACGUAGUCGGGUAGAAUAUACCAAGGCGCUCGAAAGACUCACGGUUAAGGAACUAGGCAAAUUGACCCUGUAACCUCGGGAAAAAGGGUCCCCAGUAAGAUGGGGCGCAGAGAAUAGGUCCAGGCAACUGUUUAACAAAAACACAGGGCUGUGCAAAAUUUCAAGAUGAAGUAUACAGCCUGACACCUGCCCGGUGCCGGAAGGUUAAGAGGAGAGCUAAUCGCAAGAGAAGGCUUGAAUUGAAGCCCCGGUAAACGGCGGCCGUAACUAUAACGGUCCUAAGGUAGCGAAAUUCCUUGUCGGGUAAGUUCCGACCUGCACGAAUGGUGUAAUGAUCUGGACACUGUCUCAACCGUGACUUCGGUGAAAUUGUAGUAUCGGUGAAGAUGCCGAUUACCCGCAACGGGACGAAAAGACCCCGUGAACCUUUACUGCAACUUAGCAUUGCGUUUGGGCAUUUGAUGUGUAGGAUAGUCCGGAGGCUACGAGUCGGCGACGCCAGUCGUCGAGGAGCCGCUGUUGAAAUACGGACCUUCGAAUGUUUGAGCGCUAACUCGCUGUAGCGAGGACACUGUUUGGUGGGUAGUUUGACUGGGGUGGUCGCCUCCAAAAGCGUAACGGAGGCUUCUAAAGGUGCCCUCAGACCGAUUGGUAACCGGUCGCAGAGUGUAAUGGCAUAAGGGCGCUUGACUGGGAGACAUACAAGUCGAUCAGGUAGGAAACUAGAGCAUAGUGAUCCGGUGGUUCCGCAUGGAA